GACGAACGCUGGCGGCGUGCUUAACACAUGCAAGUCGAGCGGUAAGGCCCUUCGGGUACGACGAGCGGCGAACGGGUGAGUAACACGUGGGUGACCUGCCCUUAGCUCUGGGAUAAGCCUGGGAAACUGGGUCUAAUACCGGAUAUGACCUCAUGACGCAUGUUGUGGGGUGGAAAGCCUUGUGCGGCUAGGGAUGGGCCCGCGGCCUAUCAGCUUGUUGGUGGGGUGAUGGCCACCAAGGCGACGACGGGUAGCCGGCCUGAGAGGGCGACCGGCCACACUGGGACUGAGACACGGCCCAGACUCCUACGGGAGGCAGCAGUGGGGAAUCUUGCGCAAUGGGCGAAAGCCUGACGCAGCGACGCCGCGUGA
rnacentral:rRNA from 1 species